UACGAAGGGUGCAAGCGUUGUUCGGAUUUAUUGGGCGUAAAGCGCGCGCAGGCGGAUUGAUAAGUCAGGUGUGAAAUCUCGGGGCUCAGCCUCGAAACUGCGCCUGAAACUAUUAAUCUAGAAUCUCAGAGGGGGUAGGGGAAUUUCACGUGUAGGGGUAAAAUCCGUAGAGAUGUGAAGGAACACCGGUGGCGAAGGCGCCUGCCUGGAUGAGUAUUGACGCUGAGGCGCGAAAGCGUGGGGAGCAAACAGG
rnacentral:misc_RNA from 1 species